GAUCAACGCUGGCGGCGUGCAUGAGACAUGCAAGUCGAACGGACGACUCGGGCUUGCCUGAGUCGUUAGUGGCGGACGGCUGAGUAACGCGUGGGUGACCUGCCCCGAAGUGGGGAAUAACUGCCCGAAAGGGUGGCUAAUACCGCAUGUGGCGGUGCGUUCCAUCGCACCAUCAAAGGAGCAAUGCGCUUCGGGAGGGGCCUGCGUCCGAUUAGCUCGUUGGUGGGGGAACGGCUCACCAAGGCGACGAUCGGUAGGUGGUCGGAGAGGACGAUCACCCAGACUGGGACUGAGACACGGCCCAGACUCCUACGGGAGGCAGCAGUCGGGAAUUUUGCGCAAUGGACGAAAGUCUGACGCAGCAACGCCGCGUGAGGGAUGAAGGCCUUCGGGUUGUAAACCUCUUUUCUCAGGGACGAUGAUGACGGUACCUGAGGAAGAAGCCACGGCUAACUACGUGCCAGCAGCCGCCGUAAUAC
rnacentral:rRNA from 1 species